UGGGGAAUAUUGCACAAUGGGGGAAACCCUGAUGCAGCGACGCCGCGUGAGCGAAGAAGGUUUUCGAAUCGUAAAGCUCUGUCCUAUGAGAAGAUAAUGACGGUAUCAUAGGAGGAAGCCCCGGCUAAAUACGUGCCAGCAGCCGCGGUAAUACGGAAGGUCCGGGCGUUAUCCGGAUUUAUUGGGUUUAAAGGGAGCGUAGGCUGUCUAUUAAGCGUGUUGUGAAAUAUACCGGCUCAACCGGUGGCUUGCAGCGCGAACUGGUCGACUUGAGUAUGCAGGAAGUAGGCGGAAUUCAUGGUGUAGCGGUGAAAUGCUUAGAUAUCAUGACGAACUCCGAUUGCGCAGGCAGCUUACUGUAGCAUAACUGACGCUGAUGCUCGAAAGUGCGGGUAUCAAACAGG
rnacentral:rRNA from 1 species